rnacentral:rRNA from 1 species
CAGUCGCCGCGGUAAUACGGAGGGUGCAAGCGUUAAUCGGAAUUACUGGGCGUAAAGCGCACGCAGGCGGUUUGUUAAGUCAGAUGUGAAAUCCCCGAGCUUAACUUGGGAACUGCAUUUGAAACUGGCAAGCUAGAGUCUUGUAGAGGGGGGUAGAAUUCCAGGUGUAGCGGUGAAAUGCGUAGAGAUCUGGAGGAAUACCGGUGGCGAAGGCGGCCCCCUGGACAAAGACUGACGCUCAGGUGCGAAAGCGUGGGGAGCAAACAGGAUUAGAUACCCGCGUAGUCCCUGUCUCUUAUAC